CGAUGCAACGCGAAGAACCUUACCUGGUCUUGACAUCCACGGAAGUUUUCAGAGAUGAGAAUGUGCCUUCGGGAACCGUGAGACAGGUGCUGCAUGGCUGUCGUCAGCUCGUGUUGUGAAAUGUUGGGUUAAGUCCCGCAACGAGCGCAACCCUUAUCCUUUGUUGCCAGCGGUCCGGCCGGGAACUCAAAGGAGACUGCCAGUGAUAAACUGGAGGAAGGUGGGGAUGACGUCAAGUCAUCAUGGCCCUUACGACCAGGGCUACACACGUGCUACAAUGGCGCAUACAAAGAGAAGCGACCUCGCGAGAGCAAGCGAACCUCAUAAAGUGCGUCGUAGUCCGGAUUGGAGUCUGCAACUCGACUCCAUGAAGUCGGAAUCGCUAGUAAUCGUGGAUCAGAAUGCCACGGUGAAUACGUUCCCGGGCCUUGUACACACCGCCCGUCACACCAUGGGAGUGGGUUGCAAAAGAAGUAGGUAGCUUAACCUUCGGGAGGGCGCUUACCACUUUGUGAUUCAUGACUGGGGUGAAGUCGUAACAAGGUAACCGUAGGGGAACCUGCGGUUGGAUCACCUCCUUACCUUAAAGAAGC
rnacentral:rRNA from 1 species